AAACAGAAGAGCUAAUGUAUGGAAGGUGACGUAUAUGAUGUUGAUCGGCGCCCAUUUCGUUUUGUCAGUUCGGCGUGGUCGCGGCGUAAACCCAAAAUGGCGAGGCCCAGCCAUUGUCGCAGUCCAGCGUGCAAACUUAUGUCAAUCGACAUCAUCCAUUUCUGUGAUACAAUAGAUUUGCAUCAACGCAACAUGAAGGAUGUCUGGCAAAGGGUAACCAGCUACUUUGCAGCUGCAAGCAAUGGCGCUGGGUAGGAGGAUGUUGCGGUGAUCGUGUCAAAGGACAUCAUGUAAAUGAAUUACAGUAUUACCCAGCAGUGUGUAAAGAAACCAAACAUUGCGGCAAUCGGCAAGCUUUGGCGCCCUCCGAUGGGCUGCACGACACUACAGAAGAAAAAUUCGUAGGUGAACGUCAUUGAAGAGCAUGUAAAUUUAGCCGAAACUAGCCCAAAUGUGAAUUGCGAAGAAUGGGAAUAAUUGCUCGCAUUUCCCACGCUGCUAUCUAGCUGUGUAGUUUUGACAACCCCCAUGGUCCGGGCGCCGGCACAUGCUAGCAUUGGGUUGCAAGAUGCAGAGCCCUAUAAUUAGUAUAUGAUUCGAAUGAUUUAAGGGCCUCAUGAGUAUGCCGGUCCCUUACGCAACGCAACAUAUAGAUACAAACGGCGAACACAUUGAAGAACGGAGACGAGCGUAGGAGAAGGCGGCAUUUAAUAAGUUACGUAACAGGCUACAACCUGACAAGUUGGGUCGAGGAUUAGCUUUUCCAUAGCAUCGGUACCUCGCAGGUUUUGCGCCCAUCAGACUUACAAAUCAAUCAGAGAGUCGUGUCAACAAUAUCCAGCAUGAAGUAGCUGUUGAAAGUUGGCGACGGAUGAGGCGCUUAAUGAGGUAUGUGGGGUACCACUAUGUGCGGUAAGCUGUAGUAAAACCGAAUUGCCAGACGCCACGCCAGCGUUGAUCAGGUGACCAGUGGGAGCUCCCCCGGACACCCCGAACCCCCCCCAGUCCCGUAUGAAAUGAAACGUGGAUUCUCACGCUUGUAACCAGUAUGUGCACAACUCUUUAAUCUGAAGUGAUGAACCAUAUUAACCUUGAUUUUCUGUGUUGGCGAUUUAGUUUUGAUGGCUGUUCUGUGCAAGGCACGGACUUCAAGCCGCAUCAGCAGAUCCUGAACGUAAAAUGGGAUUUAAGGUUAAGAUAUAUUUUUUAAAAUACAACAGCGUCCUCAUUACCUGUAUCUAAUCUGCUUGGCAUGUGCAGCAUACAGCAUGCAUAUCGACGCACGACAGCAUGGAAGAAGUCAGCCCCGUUGGGCUUGGUAUUACCAAAAUAGCAUAUGUGUGGUAUGCAUUGCGCAAUCGUAUGACAUAAUCUGUUCGGCGGCAUCAUGAUGGCCAGCAAUACAGUCACUAGUAACCACGUCGACCUACCAACCUGCUCAAUCUGUUUGUGUGAAUAAUCACGUGGGCGAAGGAAAAAUUCAAAAUAGGUUUAGACUGGUAGUGCUUUCAUCGGGCGUUAGGAAGCCUUGGGAUUUGGGGUGCGGGCUAUGCCAGCCUAUUGAUGAUAGCUAUCAUCAAUCUCGGGACCCAGGACUUGCCCUUCAGCCCGGACACCAACCGUACACUGCGGACGACCUUCUCCACCUGGUGGAGCAGCUGCAGCAGGACUUUGGUUUAUCCCCUUAAGUUCCCCUUUAGGGAAUGAAGACGAAGGGGACCAACGACUGUAGUUUAAUCUAUCAAGCUAGUAGCUCUAACGUAUUUAAAAAUACGUGACAGAACACGACAGUCAAUGGAGAUGGUCCUGCUGUCCCUUCGGCGAGGUGAGGACUUGCUGCCUACACGGCAGCUAGAGGCAGCCUAUAGACGCUAUGUUGAACGCGCCUCUUUUCCGCCCAUCUCAACUUGCGCGGCGGCUGCCGUACUUUCCUCCACGUGAUCCGCCAUGGCGCCCUACAUCUCUACUAAAUGUAGACUUCAAAUCCCCCGCCAUCAUGUGCUCGCCCCACCUCCGCCUCACCCCCGUAACCUUUGCUUGCAGGUAUGAGGCACCAAGCACAAUGCAAUAAAAUAGCCGCUUGGUCUGGAUGUACGGUGCUGCGGACAGGGAAGCGUCCGCUGGCCGGGUACAUGUUACGAGCUGGCGAGGGCUCGUAAGGCCCAGACGAGCAAGGGAGCUCCUGGACCUCCGCGAGUUCUAGCGUAGUCGAAAAGAUAAAAGAAAAAGGGUUAUGAAGCCAGUCUGCGAGAGAAAUAAAUAACUAGACUAGGCGGGCGUGGCCUUUCUACUCGGCUAUCAACGUGCAUCGCCGCAUGCAGAUGGUAUGAACGACCUGUAAAGUCCGCGCUGAUCACCAAUGUCCAUGACAGACCUCAUAUUAGCACGGACUCGAUAUCCGCCUAGCGUACACCUAUAGGUUGAGGAGCCCCUCCCGUAGGUCCCUGUAGGCGCGACACUCUAGCAACAUGUGAAACUCAUCUUCUACUGUAUUAUUGUUUGCAACCACAAACCCCGCACC
rnacentral:lncRNA from 1 species